UUUCCAUGAACUUUUUUUUUAUUAUCAAAAAUUCCCUGAACUUAAAGUGGUGAACAAUUUUUCCACGCUUUUUUCUCCGGUGAAGCUUCGGGCUGACUUGUUGCCUACAUGGUAAUAUCGAGCUGACAUGGAGCUUAUUUGGACAGAAAAAUUGACACUUGGAAAAAAAUGAACAAAAAAAAAGCAAAAAAAUAAAACAAAAAAUCAUUCUCUUCCCCCUCCUCCGGCAAACUCCACUGCCGCUUCUCUCUCCACCGUCCACCGCCUUCCCCCACCACCAUCACCAGAUCCGCCGCCCUCUCUCGCUCCACCGCCCACCGCCUUCCCCCACCACCCCGCAGAUCCGUCUUCCCCUCUCGCGUUUUCUGCCCAUCAGAAUAGCGCCGCCGCCUCUAACUCCACCGCCGCUUCUCUCUCCACCGUCCACCGCCUUUCCCCA
rnacentral:lncRNA from 1 species